UACGGAGGGGGCUAGCGUUGUUCGGAAUUACUGGGCGUAAAGCGCACGUAGGCGGCUUUGUAAGUUAGAGGUGAAAGCCCGGGGCUCAACUCCGGAAUUGCCUUUAAGACUGCAUCGCUAGAAUUGUGGAGAGGUAAGUGGAAUUCCUAGUGUAGAGGUGAAAUUCGUAGAUAUUCGGAAGAACACUAGUGGCGAAGGCGACUUACUGGACACAUAUUGACGCUGAGGUGCGAAAGCGUGGGGAGCAAACAGG
rnacentral:rRNA from 1 species